GACGAACGCUGGCGGCGUGCUUAACACAUGCAAGUCGAACGGAAAGGCCCUGCUUUUGUGGGGUGCUCGAGUGGCGAACGGGUGAGUAACACGUGAGUAACCUGCCCUUGACUUUGGGAUAACUUCAGGAAACUGGGGCUAAUACCGGAUAGGAGCUCCUGCUGCAUGGUGGGGGUUGGAAAGUUUCGGCGGUUGGGGAUGGACUCGCGGCUUAUCAGCUUGUUGGUGGGGUAGUGGCUUACCAAGGCUUUGACGGGUAGCCGGCCUGAGAGGGUGACCGGCCACAUUGGGACUGAGAGACGGCCCAGACUCCUACGGGAGGCAGCAGUGGGGAAUAUUGCACAAUGGGCGGAAGCCUGAUGCAGCAACGCCGCGUGCGGGAUGACGGCCUUCGGGUUGUAAGCCGCUUUCGCCUGUGACGAAGCGUGAGUGACGGUAAUGGGUAAAGAAGCACCGGCUAACUACGUG
rnacentral:rRNA from 1 species